UAGAUGGUUGCAGCAUAAAUA
rnacentral:miRNA from 1 species